GUCGGAAACGAACUGCUAAUACCGCAUAAUGCAGCGGCAGCUCAUGCUGACAGUUGUUAAAGCGGGGGAGUCGCAAGACCUCGCGCCUAAAGAGAAGCCGCGGCGGAUUAGCUAGUUGGUGAGGUAAUGGCUCACCAAGGCGUCGAUCCGUAGCCGGCCUGAGAGGGCGGUCGGCCACACUGACACUGAAUAACGGGUCAG
rnacentral:rRNA from 1 species